UACAGAGGAUGCAAGCGUUUAUCCGGAAUGAUUGGGCGUAAAGCGUCUGUAGGUGGCUUUUUAAGUCCGCCGUCAAAUCCCAGGGCUCAACUCUGGACAGGCGGUGGAAACUACCAAGCUGAGUACGGUAGGGGCAGAGGGAAUUUCCGGUGGAGCGGUGAAAUGCGUAGAGAUCGGAAAGAACACCAACGGCGAAAGCACUCUGCUGGGCCGACACUGACACUGAGAGACGAAAGCUAGGGGAGCGAAUGGGGAUUAGAACCUACCGUCGAG
rnacentral:rRNA from 1 species